rnacentral:rRNA from 1 species
AUUGAACGCUGGCGGCAGGCCUAACACAUGCAAGUCGAGCGGAUGAAGGGAGCUUGCUCCUGGAUUCAGCGGCGGACGGGUGAGUAAUGCCUAGGAAUCUGCCUGGUAGUGGGGGAUAACGUCCGGAAACGGGCGCUAAUACCGCAUACGUCCUGAGGGUGAAAGUGGGGGAUCUUCGGACCUCACGCUAUCAGAUGAGCCUAGGUCGGAUUAGCUAGUUGGUUGGGUAAAGGCCUACCAAGGCGACGAUCCGUAACUGGUCUGAGAGGAUGAUCAGUCACACUGGAACUGAGACACGGUCCAGACUCCUACGGGAGGCAGCAGUGGGGAAUAUUGGACAAUGGGCGAAAGCCUGAUCCAGCCAUGCCGCGUGUGUGAAGAAGGUCUUCGGAUUGUAAAGCACUUUAAGUUGGGAGGAAGGGCAGUAAGUUAAUACCUUGCUGUUUUGACGUUACCAACAGAAUAAGCACCGGCUAACUUCGUG